AAAAACUGUACAUCCUGUUAUUUUGAUCUUGAAGCUUUAAUAUGGUCCAUAAGCUCCUGAUGCCAAGGACACAGGAAAGCAAGACAGAAAUAUCCAGUGACAACAAUUUUGAACCCUCUCCAACCCAAUGCCACUACUUGCCUGACCAACUAGAGAAAUCCAGUUCAGCUCAAUAUAUCUUCCAGUCAGGUUAUAAAGCAGUGUCCUUCUAAAAGCAUAGUCAUCUAGUUUUGUGUUCAUCUGCUCAGUGAGACCAUUUGCUCUUUGAAGGUAAGAACGUGUCU
rnacentral:lncRNA from 1 species